rnacentral:tRNA from 1 species
GCCAGAAUAGCUCAGUUGGGAGAGCGUUAGACUGAAGUUGUUUACGCAACAGUCAUCUAAAGGCCCCCGGUUCAAUCCCGUAUUCCGGCA